CAGUCGCCGCGGGAAUACGAAGGGGGCUAGCGUUGUUCGGAAUUACUGGGCGUAAAGCGCACGUAGGCGGACAUUUAAGUCAGGGGUGAAAUCCCGGGGCUCAACCCCGGAACUGCCUUUGAUACUGGGUGUCUAGAGUAUGGAAGAGGUGAGUGGAAUUCCGAGUGUAGAGGUGAAAUUCGUAGAUAUUCGGAGGAACACCAGUGGCGAAGGCGGCUCACUGGUCCAUUACUGACGCUGAGGUGCGAAAGCGUGGGGAGCAAACAGGAUUAGAUACCCCAGUAGUCCCUGUCUCUUAUAC
rnacentral:rRNA from 1 species